UUACGGCCAUAUCUCGUUGAAACACAACUUCCCUUACGAUCACCGAAGUAAAGCAACGUCGAGCUUGGUCAGUACCUAGAUGAGUGAUCGCUUGAAAAUACCAGGUAUUGUAAG